rnacentral:misc_RNA from 1 species
AACGCACAUUGCGCUCCUUGGUAUUCCUAGGAGCAUGUCUGUCUGAGCGUCAGUACACACCCUCUGGUCGGGUUUUCUCCGUUGGAGGAUCCCCGACCGGGUACUGAGGGGAGCGUUCACCCGCCCCCUCUAAAGUGGAACGCCAGCGGCCCGCCUGCCCAUGAAAGACGUAGUAAACAAGCUCUCGUCCGCGAAAGGGUCGGUGCGUGGCUCGCCUCGACAUAUACACCUAAGGCUUGACCUCAGGUCAGACAAGAAUACCCGCUGAACUUAA